rnacentral:rRNA from 1 species
UACGUAGGGUGCGAGCGUUAAUCGGAAUUACUGGGCGUAAAGCGUGCGCAGGCGGUUUUUUAAGACAGGCGUGAAAUCCCCGGGCUUAACCUGGGAACGGCGCUUGUGACUGGAAGGCUAGAGUAUGGCAGAGGGGGGUGGAAUUCCACGUGUAGCAGUGAAAUGCGUAGAUAUCUGGAGGAACACCGGUGGCGAAGGCGGCGUCCUGGACCAACACUGACACUGAGGAGCGAAAGCCAGGGGAGCAAACGGG